AUCCAGACUCCUACGGGCGGCAGCAGUGGGGGAUAUUGCACAAUGGGGGGAACCCUGAUGCAGCGACGCCGCGUGGGUGAAGGAGCGUUUCGGCGCGGAAAGCCCUAUCGGCAGGGAAGAAGGAGGACGGUACCUGACUAAGAAGCCCCGGCUAACUACGUGCCAGCAGCCGCGGGAAUACGUAGGGGGCAAGCGUUAUCCGGAUUUACUGGGGGGAAAGGGAGCGUAGACGGCAUAGCAAGUCUGAAGUGAAAGCCCGUGGCGCAACCGCGGAACGGCGGGGGAAACGGUGAAGCUGGAGGACGGGAGAGGCAAGCGGAAGGCCUAGGGGAGCGGUGAAAGGCGGAGAUAUGAGGAGGAACACCAGGGGCGAAGGCGGCGUGCGGGACAGAGACUGACGGUGGGGCGCGAAAGCGGGUGGAGCAAACAGGAGUAGAGACCCGAGUA
rnacentral:rRNA from 1 species